rnacentral:lncRNA from 1 species
UUAGACCGACACUACCAUCGAGUGAUGACAAAUUUUGUUCGGAGGGGAGUGAUAGUGGGAUGGUAGCACAUGAGAUAAGCAGUUUACUCAGGUUCGAGCCCUCCUUGGAGAGCUAACACCCUACUCCCACCUAUGGUGGUUACAUGACUCGAGUGCUUGCUGACGAUCGAGAAGAUCGCUGGAGAGAGGUCUUUCUUGGAUUACAAGUUCCUAGCCGCGACGACAACUGCAGAAGAAGGGGCUAGGUGGAAACUCUAGCGUUAGAUGGCUACAUAAUGUAUUAGGUACUUAGGUCUCUCCCGAGAGGGCCCUAACUCGCCUUGUAUACUCGUUUGAACUAGGGUUACAUGGCCCAGAUUGUACUAGAGAAUGGCUCGUGCCACUUGGUCUAGCCGGACCAUGUCAUGUGUCGGUGGAUCUCUAUGUCUUUGCGUUCCAAGUAGGGGCGGCAUCUAGUUGGCACCCAGACCCGAGUGGCUGAAUCGAGACAAUCAGAGACAAUGUAGCUAACCUAUUGCUUGGUUGAUGGCAUCUGAGUGUCAUAUCCUCGCCAGUCGCUCCCUAGUGUCACUUGUCUUGCAUGUCAAGAUGCGAGCGGGAAUUGUUGAAUUCCUGAAAGACAGAGAAGGCAAAAAUCAUAGCGGCUCCAACCUCGCAUGGGUAGGAGCAUUGUGGCGGUUGAGCUACUAUCGAGUGAGAGCAUUGUGGCGGUUGAGCCACUGUCGAGUAAGAUUCAGUGGUAUCUACUUCAUCCCAGCCGGGGGGGGGGGCUAGUGGUCCAUUGUAGAGCAUACCAUGCUUUCGAGCGGAGUCCUGAGUGCCGCAUGUCAGACCAAACGGGGCUUUCCCAACCAACAUCGUGGAGGAACAACAUCACAUCUCUUUUUAGAACCAAGUAUCAAGUCUCGGUGCCUGACACCUCUUGUUAGGGGGUCAACUUGUGCUCCAUGGAGGACCAUGAUCGCCCUUCAUUCAGGCGUGGCCCGAGCAGCCUGGGACCAUGGAGGUCAGCUACAUGUACCGAUGUACUCAUGAUUGAUGGCGCCCGAGUCCUGAAGAUUUUAGUUCCCGCCUAGUGCCCAUAGGGGGUUCGCCUCUCGGGUGCCAUUGUCACAUCCGAGUUUUGCAUGAUGUCACAGAACACUGAAACGCUUCUAUGACACGUUAGGGUCUCUGUAGCUCCAAGAUCUUGAAUUGGUCGGGUGGGAGGACCGAAAAGGUGCAUCCCUUGGUCUCGCCUUGGUCUUUGAGGUGGGGCCGUUAAUCCAUCGUCUUCCUAACAGUCUUCGAGAGGUCAUGCACAUCAUGGGGAGGUAGCCGUUGAUGCGUGGCACCCGAUAGGAUGUGACACUUGGGGUUUCUCUCCCACCCCUAUGUAAAUCGGGGAAGGGCUGGGAAAAGGUGUGUCCUUGUACCCGCAAAUUCACCUGCACCAGACCCUCUCUUAGUACCGCGCUCUGGCCAAACUCGUCGUGCUCCGGACUCCCAUCAUGGCCGUCGUCGCUCGCUUGAUCUUCCUGUUCGGCGAUCGUCGCCACUCGUUCUGCCCACCACCGUUUGCGCGGCUCUAGGUCUACGCUCCACCCACCGCUUUCUUGACGUCAUGGGUUGCCCUCCGGUGCAACACGUGGUGCGGCGGAGUAUUAGGCGGCAAUGCCGGCAGCGUCGAUGGUGUCCAUCGUGACAGCCGAGCAACUGCAAACCUAUUAGUGAUGUUAGUGAUUGUGAAAAAAAAUUGAUAAUAACAAUAGAAGAAGUGGUGGGAUUUAAAAGUCUAUUAUGCCCUCUGACUCAAAGGAUGGUGCGUAUUUGAUUUUUAUUCACACCCAAAUCUUGUAAAUUUUGAUCAAGCUUAUAGGUUUCUUAGAAUGCAAAAUCAAUAUUAUUAGAUUCAUUAUGAAUAUAUUUUCAUAUGAUACAUAGGAGUAUUUGAUAUUGUAGACAUAGAUAAUUUUCUCAAUAAAUUUGGUUAAAGUUCGUGAGAUUUACUUUCAAUACACGUGGGCGUGGCAAGUUUCGCUGCAAACUGAAAUUGUGUAGAACCAAAGAAGCGAACCGAUCGUCUUUGCCAUCUGCCGUCGACUCUCUCCUUCCAACCCCCGGUUCUUUCCCCUUUGCCAUCUGCCGUCUCAAGUCUCGAACGCACCCUGUUCCUACUCCGCUCCGCCGAGACCUCGCCGCCGGCGACUCGGGAUCUAACCCCUACACCUACACCACAACGCACUGAAGAACAAGGCGCAGUAACAGCAGAAAUGGUGCUGAUCCCUCUCAUCCGGGAUUACAUCGACCGCAUGCUCCAGGACAUCUCCGGCAUGAAGGUCCUCAUCCUCGACCCCCAAACCGUACGUACGCGCCCCCCGAAACCCUAGCCCUGGCAGGCCUCUGCUCCUCCCCAUUUUUCUCACCAGAUCCGCGGGCUCGUUCCAGGUGGGGAUGGUUAGCGUAGUGUACAGCCAGUCGGAUCUCCUGCGGAAAGAGGUGUUCCUCGUGGAGACGGUCGACGACGCCUCCAGCUCCAGGGCGUCCAUGGCGCACCUAAAGGCCGUCUACUUCCUCCGCCCGUCCUCUGACAACGUCCAGAAGCUUCGCCGCCACCUCUCUGCGCCGCGAUUUGCCGAGUGCCACCUCUGUGCGUAAUUGAUCCCCAUUUGCUAUAUUCAACCCGUGAACUUGCUACAUUCCUGUUAGUUCACGUCUUUUCUCAGUUUUCUGUGUGUUUUACUUUGAGAAGAUCAGAAGAGUUGAUUGCGAUGGGGAUGCAAACAAUUUGGUAGACAACCCCAACAAAAUGAAAACCAGCACAUGAAGAUUGGGGCAAGCAAGAUACUAAAGCAACUACUCAAGACUACUUGCUCUUUUCUGGAAAACAUGUUGCUCACCCUACUGUCUAAGAAGUUUUUAAAGUUACGCGUAACUAGAAAUAAUAAAAUUAAAAUCAAUACAAUGUAGCAGUUUGGGUGAUAGUGUUGUACCUUGUGGCGGGGUCUGAAAGAGGGACAAAUGCUUGGCUUGUCGCAGCAGAGUUUUGCUGAUUUUGUUCAUUUAUUGUUUGUUUCCUUGCAGUCUUCUCCAAUAUAUUGAAGAUUCCACAGAUUCAGGUGCUUGCCGAUUCUGAUGAGCAGGAGGUUGUGCAGCAAAUUCAGGUAUAUGUCGUUCAUGAUUGUAAGUACACAUUGGAAUGAAGUGUUUGAGAGUUGAAAGGGAGGAUGGAGUUGGUAUAUGAAUGCUGUUUUGUUUUGCAGGAGUUCUAUGCUGACUUUUGUGCCAUUGAUCCUUUCCAUUUCACUCUGAAUAUACACAAUAACCACAUCUACAUGCUUCCAACGGUGGUUGAUCCUCCUGGUAUGCAAAGCUUCUGCGAUCGAGCUGUUGAUGGCAUCGCUUCUGUCUUCCUGGCUCUGAAGCGUCGCCCUGUUAUUAGAUACCAAAGGACAUCAGAUGUUGCAAAAAGGAUUGCACAAGAAACUACGGUGGGUCCACUGUCAAUAUUAAAUAUUACUACAUGGAGACCAUGAAAAAAAAUCAUCAACUUAGGAUUUCAGCACAUGUCAAUAUAAAUAUUUUUUUUGGCAAGAAUAUUAAAUAUUACAACAUGAAGCAUUCUAGAGAAAUCUUUUUACAUGCUUAUCCCAAUGAUUGAAACUGUUGAAAGAUCACUGUCAACUAUUAUAUUUUUGUUACUCUAGCACAUCUUCAGGUGUUAACUCACUAGAAAACAGAAACACUUAACCUUUAUACAGUAGUGAUGAUGCCUCAUGCCUACACUGACACAUGGUUCUUUUCGUACUCUUUUGAUUAUUCUGUUCAUAUCUGCUUUCUGUGCUGUGAUCCACAUCACUUAUGCCCGUCCGAUUGUACUUCCAUUGUCUGAUCUUGAAGGCAUGGUUACAUAUAGCCUCUUCUUCCUCCCAAGCGAUAUGUUCAUCUCUGCACACACUGCAAGCUAGUCCUAGGUGGAUUUUUGUGCAGUUCUUACUGAAAGCUUGAAUUUCUUUUAUACCUUUUCAUUAUUUAUCAAUGAUCUUAAGUUACACAACGUGAAUCUAGGCUUUUAUUGUUAGAGCAUGUUAGAAUGGUUUAUUUAUCAAUUAAAGUUGUAUCGAUUGUAAGUUCGUCUCAGAUAGGUAUUCUCCGGGACUGCUUAGAAUUGUUGAACCAACAAUGAGAUUACGAAGGGAGUUAGUAUGGCUCUGACCCAUUGAACCAACAAUGAGAUAAUGAGAAUACAACCAAAAAAGUUGUAGUUAAAUUUUAUUCAUGUAAAAGGGUGGAGUGGUACGAGUAUAAGGGCAGUAGUUUCCAAUUUAUCUAAAUGAGUGCCUCUGGGUGGCACUAUGUUACAAUCAUUGGUCAAUUAUGCAUGUUUUAGAGAAUUUUCAUGAUAAACUUCAUAUUCUACAAAAGGGAGUAGGAAGAAGUGCAAUUUAUAGAAGUAGAGGAAGAUUGAAAAUCUUUUCUGUGCCACAAAAUGUACGCAAUUCUGUAUCAUAAUUAUGCCUUACUUCUGUUUUAAGGAUUUUGUGAUGCCAUUGUGACUUCUGUUUGGAAUACUUGUUGCUCAUGCACUUACAAUUUGGAAUGUGCAGA